UCAACAAUGAAAGUGAUGGGGUGGAGUCAUCUUUCAUACCUUGAUGGAUUAAUGGAAUUACUAGUUCAAUGUCAAGUGCCCUUGAAGAUGAAGUGAGAACACCUUUUCCUAUCAUAAGAGAUACCCUUUAUGAAGAUCCUGCUUUUUUCAGGCAAAGGUUGAGGCAUCUCUUCGUGGCAAGUGGUUGCUAGUCAGUCAAAGAAUUUAGCUCGCAUAGGUGGACUUGAAUUAUUGUUCUUUGAUUUCACCAUUACAAAAUGAUGAUUUUUGAAGUAUUUCAUGUUAAAUCUCAACCAUGAUAAUGAUACAAGGGCAAACAAAGCUGUCGUAAAACUAUUUCAUUCUA